UGGCGAACGGGUGAGUAACACGUGGGUGAUCUGCCCUGCACUUCGGGAUAAGCCUGGGAAACUGGGUCUAAUACCGGAUAGGACGAUGGUUUGGAUGCCAUUGUGGAAAGUUUUUCGGUGUUGGAUGAGCUCGCGGCCUAUCAGCUUGUUGGUGGGGUAAUGGCCUACCAAGGCGUCGACGGGUAGCCGGCCUGAGAGGGUGUACGGCCACAUUGGGACUGAGAUACGGCCCAG
rnacentral:rRNA from 1 species